rnacentral:rRNA from 1 species
AUUGAACGCUGGCGGCAUGCCUUACACAUGCAAGUCGAACGGCAGCACGGGAGCAAUCCUGGUGGCGAGUGGCGAACGGGUGAGUAAUAUAUCGGAACGUGCCCAGUCGUGGGGGAUAACGUAGCGAAAGCUACGCUAAUACCGCAUACGAUCUAUGGAUGAAAGCGGGGGAUCGCAAGACCUCGCGCGAUUGGAGCGGCCGAUAUCAGAUUAGGUAGUUGGUGGGGGUAAAAGCCUACCAAGCCUUCGAUCUGUAGCUGGUCUGAGAGGACGACCAGCCACACUGGAACUGAGACACGGUCCAGACUCCUACGGGAGGCAGCAGUGGGGAAUUUUGGACAAUGGGCGCAAGCCUGAUCCAGCAAUGCCGCGUGCAGGACGAAGGCCUCGGGUUGUAAACUGCUUUGUACGGAACGAAAGACCUUCUUCUAAUACAGGAGGGUCGAUGACGGUACCGUAACGAAUAAGCACCGGCUAACUACGU